GUGGUUAGGACGGACCGUCGAUAGUUGACAUCGUUUAGUGGUAGGUCUGAAAUUAACAGAAACACACGUGGAUGUUUCCAUACAGUAAAUGAAACAAUCAUUCAUAUGGAGAACCCUUAGAUUUUGAGAAUCUUUUAUUAUAAAAUUAUACAGAAUUCUAUGAUCCGAAAUUUCGCUGAAUAUUUUUUGUCUCAUUUCACAACGUGUCAUCAUUAUAACAAUUCCGAAUAUAAAUAACG
rnacentral:lncRNA from 1 species